rnacentral:rRNA from 1 species
CCCUUAGAGUUUGAUCCUGGCUCAGGAUGAACGCUGGCGGCGUGCCUAACACAUGGAAGUCGAACGAAGCAAAUUAACGGAAGUUUUCGGAUGGAAGUUGAAUUGACUGAGUGGCGGACGGGUGAGUAACGCGUGGGUAACCUGCCUUGUACUGGGGGACAACAGUUAGAAAUGACUGCUAAUACCGCAUAAGCGCACAGUAUCGCAUGAUACAGUGUGAAAAACUCCGGUGGUACAAGAUGGACCCGCGUCUGAUUAGCUAGUUGGUAAGGUAAGGGCUUACCAAGGCGACGAUCAGUAGCCGACCUGAGAGGGUGACCGGCCACAUUGGGACUGAGACACGGCCCAAACUCCUACGGGAGGCAGCAGUGGGGAAUAUUGCACAAUGGGCGAAAGCCUGAUGCAGCGACGCCGCGUGAGUGAAGAAGUAUUUCGGUAUGUAAAGCUCUAUCAGCAGGGAAGAA